GGAGUAAACCUCUACAUAUGGGCGCGCGCUCUCUACCAGCUUUCUAGCACCCACCAACUCCCAGGACCUAAAGUGGGUGUCCAGCAUCGACACAGUAAUCAAAAAGGCCCAGCAGAGGAUGUACUCCGUGCGCCAGCUCAGAGCCUGCUUCAGGAGCUGAUGCUCCAGUUCUACACUGCAAUAAUCAAGUCUCUUGCAGACCCAUCACAACCUGUUCUCUUUUCCCCUCUUAUAGGCAUAACAAAACACUGUAUGCCAAAACAAAGUUUCUUCCUACAGGCCAUCACUCUGAUGAACACAUGAUACUGACAUGUAUAUGCAUUUACCGUACAUAUCCACCCAUGUCAUGUUUAUAAAGCAACCUGUUACAUUAACCAUUCAAUAUUUAUUCCACUACUGUAUUAUUGUUUAUAAUUGACAGAAACAGUCUGACAUUGCAUGUUGUUGUAUUGUUUGUAUAUCAAUAAAGCUGCUUCCAUUUGGG